rnacentral:rRNA from 1 species
UUUAGGGAUGUUUCCAUUCCUGACACUUUCCCACUGGGCCGCUCACAUCUAAUCUUUCCUGAACGCAAAAAAUAAGCAAACUGGGCCUGGUUAGGACUUGGAUGGGAGACCAUCUGGAAAUAAGGGGUUAUAAAAC